UGUAGUGUUUUCUGACUUGUUAUUUUGUUUUCAGAAUUGUGAUUUGUUUUGCACUUCUCAGUCACCGUAGUUCUGGGAUGCGGGUCGUGGUUGCUGUAACAGAGUGUGUGUUCGCAGGGACGGUCGUGUGCUGGGAGUGCUGGAAGUGUCUCGUUCCAUCGGUGACGGUCAGUAUAAACGCUGUGGAGUGAUUUCCACUCCGGACGUGCGGCGCUGUCAACUCAGUCCAAAUGACAGGUUUGUUCUGUUGGCGUGCGAUGGGCUUUUUAAAGUGUUUUCUGCAGACGAGGCCGUUCAGUUCGUCCUCAACAUUCUAGAGAAUGAGACUGUGGAGCAGAAGGAGGGGCAGAGUGAGGAGGCGGGGCGAUUUGAGGCAGCCUGUCAGCGAUUGGCCAGUGAGGCUGUGAGGCGGAGCAGUGCGGACAAUGUCACUGUUAUUCUUGUCUCUAUUGAGUUCUGAAAUCAUUAUACACACACACACACACACACACACACACACACACUUCCAUUCAGAAUCUUUUCUGUUACACAAACGCACACAGAUACACACGAAUGCAUGAAUUCAGAGGAAGUACAUUGUUAAUACAGGCUUAUUAUAGAGAUGUUUGAAUCUCAACUUGAUUUUUUUUUCCAAAGCAGGGCUUUUGAAAACACUGUGUCAGAUUUUAGUAUUUGUGCUGUUUGCCAUCAAAUACUAAACAAUAAACUUUUAUACAAUCUCACAAUAUCUGUGUCCUCUCUGA